UCAUCGGAUGGGCAACGGUCAUCGAGAUCGUUGGCGACCAGCCAACAUCGGAGUCCCGCCACGUCGGUCAGGAGAUCCUGAGGCCCCUCCGGCGAC
rnacentral:tRNA from 1 species